rnacentral:rRNA from 1 species
GAUGAACGCUGGCGGCGUGCCUAAUACAUGCAAGUCGAGCGAACAGAUGAGAAGCUUGCUUCUCUGAUGUUAGCGGCGGACGGGUGAGUAACACGUGGGUAACCUACCUAUAAGACUGGGAUAACUCCGGGAAACCGGGGCUAAUACCGGAUAAUAUUUUGAACCGCAUGGUUCAAUAGUGAAAGACGGUUUCGGCUGUCACUUAUAGAUGGACCCGCGCCGUAUUAGCUAGUUGGUAAGGUAACGGCUUACCAAGGCGACGAUACGUAGCCGACCUGAGAGGGUGAUCGGCCACACUGGAACUGAGACACGGUCCAGACUCCUACGGGAGGCAGCAGUAGGGAAUCUUCCGCAAUGGGCGAAAGCCUGACGGAGCAACGCCGCGUGAGUGAUGAAGGUCUUCGGAUCGUAAAACUCUGUUUUCAGGGACGAAUGUGCGAUGUGUAAAUAAUGCAUUGUAAUGACGGUACCUGAGUAGAAAGCCACGGCUAACUACGUGCCAGCCGCCGCAGUAAAAC